rnacentral:rRNA from 1 species
UACGGAGGGUGCGAGCGUUGUCCGGAAUCAUUGGGCGUAAAGGGCGCGUAGGUGGCCCGGUCAGCGUGCGGUGAAAGCUCGGGGCUCAACCCCGAGUCGGCCGUGCGAACUGCUGGGCUUGAGCACUGUAGAGGCAGGCGGAAUUCCGGGUGUAGCGGUGGAAUGCGUAGAGAUCCGGAAGAACACCGGUGGCGAAAGCGACUUCCUGGACCAAUACUGACGCUCAUGUGCGAAAGCGUGGGGAGCAAACAGG